CAAUACCGCGUGUGGGAGGAAGGCCCUUGGGUUGUAAACCACUUUUAUCAGGGAAGAAGCUCUGACGGUACCUGAUGAAUAAGCAUCGGCUAACUCCGUGCCAGCAGCCGCGGUAAUACGGAGGAUGCAAGCGUUAUCCGGAAUCAUUGGGCGUAAAGCGUCCGUAGGUGGUUUGUCAAGUCUGUCGUCAAAGAAUGGAGCUUAACUCCAUAAAGGCGGUGGAAACUGAGGGACUAGAGUUCGGUAGGGGUAGCGGGAAUUCCCAGUGUAGCGGUGAAAUGCGUAGAUAU
rnacentral:rRNA from 1 species